UUUUUUUUUGCUCAAUUCCAAUUAAUUCCAAUCCAAAUUCAGAUCUUUGUAAAAAAAAAAUUAUUUAUGGCAAUACGAAUAUAUUGAUGAUCAAAAAACGUGAUGAUCGAUCCAUUGAUUGUUGACAAUAAAUGUAAGAAAAAAAAAAAGAAAAAGAAUGUGGAUGUGGAUGGUUUUUUUUCCAACGUAAAACGAUGACAAACGAUUAUAAGAAUAUUUGAUGACAAAUACAGCCUGCUGUGUGAAAAUCAUAAACAUAAUGGAUGGAAUAUAAUUUUUUGAAGAAGAAGAAGAAGAAAAAAUUGUUUACAACAUUAAUGUUUUGGAACAAUUUUUGGAAUUUUUUUUUUAAUCACCGAACAACAAUCAAAUUUGUUACAUUUCAUUCAUUCAUCCACACACACCGCACGCAGAUUCAAUGUCUUGGCCUCGAAACGACAUCCACACACACAAUAUAUUUAGAUUUUCUCAAUUCAAUUUUUUUUUUCAAUAUUGGAAUUUUUCGUUUUCCUCCCUAUUUUAUUGCUUUUUGCAUAAUAAUGAUUAUAUUAUUAUAUUAUAAUGGAAAUAUUACGAAAUCCAGAAUGGAUCUGUUAGAAGCUUA